UAAACAACUCUCAGCAAUGGAUAUCUUGGCUCUUGCAACGAUGAAGAAUGCAGCAAAAUGCAAUACGUAGUGUGAAUUGCAAAAUUUUGCAAAUCAUCGAGUUUUUGAAUGCAAGUUGCGCCCGAAGCUUGUCUGAGGGCAUUUCCGCUAGAGCGUCACU
rnacentral:rRNA from 1 species